rnacentral:rRNA from 1 species
CCUACGGGAGGCAGCAGUGGGGAAUCUUGCGCAAUGGGCGAAAGCCUGACGCAGCAACGCCGCGUGCGGGAUGAAGGCCUUCGGGCUGUAAACCGCUUUCAGCAGGAACGAAAAUGACGGUACCUGCAGAAGAAGGAGCGACCAACUACGUGCCAGCAGCCGCGGUGACACGUAGGCUCCAAGCGUUGUCCGGAUUUAUUGGGCGUAAAGAGCUCGUAGGCGGUCUAAUAAGUCGGGUGUGAAAACUCUGGGCUCAACCCGGAGACGCCAUCCGAUACUGUUAUGACUUGAGUUCAGGAGGGGAGCGGGGAAUUCCUAGUGUAGCGGUGAAAUGCGCAGAUAUUAGGAGGAACACCGGUGGCGAAGGCGCCGCUCUGGACUGAAACUGACGCUGAGGAGCGAAAGCAUGGGUAGCAAACAGGAUUAGAUACCCUGGUAGUCCAUGCCGUAAACGGUGGGCACUAGGUGUGGGUUUCAACUACGAAAUCCGCGCCGUCGCUAACGCAUUAAGUGCCCCGCCUGGGGAGGUACGGUCGCGAGACGAAACGUACGAAGAAGUAAGUAGCGUUGAGAGUUGCGACGGCGACGACGAGGGAGAGG